rnacentral:rRNA from 1 species
GGGGGGGGGGNCCGGUCUAGCGAUGUAAGGUCGGAGCGGAAUGACGGGAGCUUGCUCCUUGAUUCAGCGGCGGACGGGUGAGUAAUGCCUAGGAAUCUGCCUGGUAGUGGGGGACAACGUUUCGAAAGGAACGCUAAUACCGCAUACGUCCUACGGGAGAAAGCAGGGGACCUUCGGGCCUUGCGCUAUCAGAUGAGCCUAGGUCGGAUUAGCUUGUUGGUGAGGUAAUGGCUCACCAAGGCGACGAUCCGUAACUGGUCUGAGAGGAUGAUCAGUCACACUGGAACUGAGACACGGUCCAGACUCCUACGGGAGGCAGCAGUGGGGAAUAUUGGACAAUGGGCGAAAGCCUGAUCCAGCCAUGCCGCGUGUGUGAAGAAGGUCUUCGGAUUGUAAAGCACUUUAAGUUGGGAGGAAGGGCAGUAAGCUAAUACCUUGCUGUUUUGACGUUACCGACAGAAUAAGCACCGGCUAACUCUGUGCCAGCAGCCGCGGUAAUACAGAGGGUGCAAGCGUUAAUCGGAAUUACUGGGCGUAAAGCGCGCGUAGGUGGUUUGUUAAGUUGGAUGUGAAAGCCCCGGGCUCAACCUGGGAACUGCAUCCAAAACUGGCAAGCUAGAGUACGGUAGAGGGUGGUGGAAUUUCCUGUGUAGCGGUGAAAUGCGUAUAUAUAGGAAGGAACACCAGUGGCGAAGGCGACCACCUGGACUGAUACUGACACUGAGGUGCGAAAGCGUGGGGAGCAAACAGGAUUAGAUACCCUGGUAGUCCACGCCGUAAACGAUGUCACUAGCCGUUGGAAUCCUUGAGAUUUUAGUGGCGCAGCUAACGCAUUAAGUUGACCGCCUGGGGAGUACGGCCGCAAGGUUAAAACUCAAAUGAAUUGACGGGGGCCCGCACAAGCGGUGGAGCAUGUGGUUUAAUUCAAACCAACGCGAAAAAACCUUACCAGGCCUUGACAUGCAGAAAACUUUCCCAAAAAUGAAUUGGUGCCUUCCGGAACUCUGACCCAAGUGCUGCAUGGCUUUCGUCACCUCNNNGCCUGGAAAUGUUGGGUUAAGUCCCCUAACGACCCCAACCCUUUGUCCUUUGUUUCCC